GACGAACGCUGGCGGCGUGCCUAAUACAUGCAAGUCGAGCGGACUUUCAAGAAGCUUGCUUUUUGAAAGUUAGCGGCGGACGGGUGAGUAACACGUGGGCAACCUGCCUGCAAGACGGGGAUAACUCCGGGAAACCGUGGCUAAUACCGGAUAAUAUCUUCCUUCGCAUGAAGGUAGGUUGCAAGGCGGCUCAAGCUGCCGCUUGCAGAUGGGCCCGCGGCGCAUUAGCUAGUUGGUGAGGUAACGGCACACCAAGGCGACGAUGCGUAGCCGACCUGAGAGGGUGAGCAGCCAAACUGGGACGGAGACACGGCCCAGACUGCCACGGAAGGAAGCAGUAGGCAAUCGUACGGAAUGGAGGAAAGUAUGACAGAGCAACGCCGCGGGAGCGAAGAAGGUCUUCGGAUCGGAAAGAUCUGUUGUCAGGGAAGAAAAAGUACCGUUCGAACAGGGCGGUACAUUGACGGUACCUGGCCAGAAAGCAACGGCUAACUACGUG
rnacentral:rRNA from 1 species